UGGGGAAUAUUGGGCAAUGGGCGCAAGCCUGACCCAGCAACGCCGCGUGAAGGAAGAAGGCUUUCGGGUUGUAAACUUCUUUUCUUGGGGACGAAGAAAGUGACGGUACCCGAGGAAUAAGCCACGGCUAACUACGUGCCAGCAGCCGCGGUAAUACGUAGGUGGCAAGCGUUAUCCGGAUUUAUUGGGUGUAAAGGGCGUGUAGGCGGGAAUGCAAGUCAGAUGUGAAAACUAUGGGCUCAACCCAUAGCCUGCAUUUGAAACUGUAUUUCUUGAGUGCUGGAGAGGCAAUCGGAAUUCCGUGUGUAGCGGUGAAAUGCGUAGAUAUACGGAGGAACACCAGUGGCGAAGGCGGAUUGCUGGACAGUAACUGACGCUGAGGCGCGAAAGCGUGGGGAGCAAACAGGAUUAGAUACC
rnacentral:rRNA from 1 species